CGAGACCGAGAGGCAGUAGAUGGCGCCAAGCAACCCGAUAGCUGAGCAGAAGACUGAGCGCAGCAUCUACAGGCACAGUGCGAGGAGAGUCCCAGAGCUGAGCCGUGCUGAUACGCCAGAACCAGGGCGGACAGAUACUUCAGGGCCAUCCUGGAGAGUCAGAAGGGGGAAGAGAAGCCAGUGGAAGUGAUGGUGCUGGAAGAUGUGUCAGGUUGCUCACCAGGGUGUCAGUUUCACCUCAAAGCUGUGCCUAUGACAAACAUGGCAGGUUCGAGCCCGGAGGGAGGCAAAGGCCCUGGUUCGUCUUCUGCCCUGUCCUCUUGGCCAUCCUCGCCACCUCCAGCCUCCUGCUCGGCCUCCUCUGGCUCCCCUGGAGGG